UGCAGAAAGGGUCAGCUGCCAUUGUC
rnacentral:piRNA from 1 species